rnacentral:lncRNA from 1 species
CUAGAAAAUGAAGGUAAAUCAUACAUCUUAUCCCAUCAACAGGUGAAGUUUUUGAGUGAGUCAUACAUCNUAUAAUAAUUUAAAUUUUUAAAUCACAAAUUACAAUAAAUUAGUUUGAAAACAAAAAUGUUAGGUGUCUUGUAGUUUAAGGAUGGAAAGCAUAAUUUAGCUUUUUCUUUAUCAAUAUUAUUCACUACACUAGAAAAUGAAGGUAAAUCAUACAUCUUAUCCCAUCAACAGGUGAAGUUUUUGAGUGAGUCAUACAUCUUAUCCCAUCAACAGGUGAAGUUUUUCGGUGAGGAGUACAAGUAUCAAUUUUGUGAUAUUUGUAUAGUUUUUUAUUUUAAUUUCUAUUUGUCUUUUUUAUUUUGGUUGCCUUUUAUGUUUUCUAAGACCGCGUUGUCUCAAGCACUAUAGCUAAAUUUAUCUGAUAAAUAAAUAAAGUGGGUAGCAUGCUAUUUUUCUCUUAAAAAAAAAAAAAAAGUGAAGUUUUUCUAUUCAUUAUCUCAAUAUAGCGGAAAAAAUCAUUCUACUCAUAAAAUGGAUAUAUGAUAUAUACCU